rnacentral:rRNA from 1 species
UGGGGAAUAUUGGACAAUGGGCGCAAGCCUGAUCCAGCAAUGCCGCGUGUGUGAAGAAGGCCUUCGGGUUGUAAAGCACUUUUAUCAGGAGCGAAACGCUGUCGGCUAAUACCCGGCGGAACUGACGGUACCUGAGGAAUAAGCACCGGCUAACUUCGUGCCAGCAGCCGCGGUAAAUACGAAGGGUGCAAGCGUUAAUCGGAAUUACUGGGCGUAAAGCGUGCGUAGGCGGUUUCUUAAGUCUGCUGUGAAAUCCCCGGGCUCAACCUGGGAAUGGCAGUGGAUACUGGGAGGCUAGAGUGUGUCAGAGGGUGGUGGAAUUCCCGGUGUAGCGGUGAAAUGCGUAGAGAUCGGGAGGAACAUCAGUGGCGAAGGCGGCCACCUGGGACAACACUGACGCUGAGGCACGAAAAGCGUGGGGAGCAAACAGGAUUAGAUACCCUGGUAGUCCACGCCCUAAAACGAUGCGAACUGGAUGUUGGUCUCAACUCGGAGAUCAGUGUCGAAGCUAACGCGUUAAGUUCGCCGCCU